AGUCCCAAAAAGCAUUCUGUGCGAAGCACUUAACGCCAAAAGCAGGAUAACAUUGCGGCCGAAAGGAUGCAAUUGAAUUGUCUGUAUUGGGGUAAUUAUUCAGUGCCUUAUCUUAAAGACUUUCUGACCUUCCCAUCCAAACGAAAAACCGAAAGUCGACCGCAAAGAUCUAAAAAGAGGGAUUUGAUUUCACAAACACUCAACCACAAAUAUUUAUUCACAUGGCCAGGUGAGAAUUGACAAAUUUCCAUUUCGUCAAUUCGAACAAUAAAGCUAAAACUAUAACGAAACUCCUUAAAUAAAAAAAACCAAGAAAAAACGAGUGGCCAAGGCCACUCAAAACCGCUUUCAAUUAAAGUGGAGCACACUUUUGCUUGUGGUCGGGCGCAAGCUCAUCAUCACGAUCAUUGUCGUCAUAAUCAUUAUAAGCUGAUGCCUCAGGAGUGAAAACGUUGUUGCCCCAGGCGGUGUAUCCAAACGUCCCCAACUCAGCCCGCUUAUGACCCCAGAAACAAAAAGUUCCAUUACCGAAUGACAUUUAUGAAGAAAUUGUGCAUAUUAAAUUGGGAUAUUGAUAAGUGAUAUCAUUGUUCCCAAGAAGUGAACGUCUAAACACAAAGGCAGACGGAUGAACAUUGCUAAAUGGACAGGCUUUCUUCUACCUCUUACAUACUUCUCAACGAAUCACAUAUACACUAUACUAUAAUGUGUUCACAAAAUACCAAAAAUGAUCAAGGUCUACACUCUAACGAUGUGCUGAAGUAGCUGCGCCGCAGAAAGAUAAAGCCUAAUGUGGAAAUACAAAUGUAAUUGCUUGCAGUUAAUUGACCCACAUACGAUUUCUAGCCAAGUCAAUGUCAAGUGUUGCUUCGGCUGACUUACUACAAAAGUUAAUUGCACUGCACGCACAUGCCAAAAGGUAAAAAGAGUCGCGAGCCUCGGCGACAGGCUUCCAAAACCCUGUAUAUCCACAUCACCAGACCUCAGGACCUCAACUUACGACUCUGGCUACGAGGCGCGUGUGUGCAAUAUCAGGUUUCCGCAUCGACUUGCAUAGUGAUUCGAGGAUGUGCGAAAAUAUGAUUUAAAUUAAGGGAUCAUCAGUUUGCAACAGACUAUUUGUAUACCUUCCUUUUAGAAUAUAUAUAUAUUUUUUAUAGAAAUAUGUAAUACUAGUUAAGUCUUCUAAAGGAAAUACAUUUUUACACGUU
rnacentral:lncRNA from 1 species